GACAGAGGUCCCGAGCGUUAGGCGGAAUCACUGGGCUUAAAGCGUGUGUAGGCGGGUAGUUCUAAGUACCUUGUGAAAUCCCACGGCUCAACCGUGGAACUGCUUGGUAUACUGGUUCUCUUGAGCCACCUAGGGGCAACCGGAACAAACGGUGGAGCGGUGAAAUGCGUAGAUAUCGUUUGGAACGCCAAUGGUGAAAACAGGUUGCUGGGGGUGUGCUGACGCUGAGACACGAAAGCCAGGGGAGCAAACGGG
rnacentral:rRNA from 1 species